UUUGNCCAAUGGGNGAAAGCCUGAUGCAGCAACGCCGCNNGANGGAUGACGGCCUUCGGGUUGUAAANCUNUUUUAGCAGGGAAGAAGCGAAAGUGACGGUACCUGCAGAAAAAGCGCCGGCUAACUACGUGCCAGCAGCCGCGGUAAUACGUAGGGCGCAAGCGUUAUCCGGAAUUAUUGGGCGUAAAGAGCUCGUAGGCGGUUUGUCGCGUCUGCUGUGAAAUCCCGAGGCUCAACCUCGGGCCUGCAGUGGGUACGGGCAGACUAGAGUGCGGUAGGGGAGAUUGGAAUUCCUGGUGUAGCGGUGGAAUGCGCAGAUAUCAGGAGGAACACCGAUGGCGAAGGCAGAUCUCUGGGCCGUAACUGACGCUGAGGAGCGAAAGGGUGGGGAGCAAACAGGCUUAGAUACCCUGGUAGUCCACCCCGUAAACGUUGGGAACUAGUUGUGGGGUCCAUUCCACGGAUUCCGUGACGCAGCUAACGCAUUAAGUUCCCCGCCUGGGGAGUACGGCCGCAAGGCUAAAACUCAAAGGAAUUGACGGGGACCCGCACAAGCGGCGGAGCAUGCGGAUUAAUUCGAUGCAACGCGAAGAACCUUACCAAGGCUUGACAUAUACGAGAACGGGCCAGAAAUGGUCAACUCUUUGGACACUCGUAAACAGGUGGUGCAUGGUUGUCGUCAGCUCGUGUCGUGAGAUGUUGGGUUAAGUCCCGCAACGAGCGCAACCCUCGUUCUAUGUUGCCAGCACGUAAUGGUGGGAACUCAUGGGAUACUGCCGGGGUCAACUCGGAGGAAGGUGGGGAUGACGUCAAAUCAUCAUGCCCCUUAUGUCUUGGGCUUCACGCAUGCUACAAUGGCCGGUACAAAGGGCUGCAAUACCGCGAGGUGGAGCGAAUCCCAAAAAGCCGGUCCCAGUUCGGAUUGAGGUCUGCAACUCGACCUCAUGAAGUCGGAGUCGCUAGUAAUCGCAGAUCAGCAACGCUGCGGUGAAUACGUUCCCGGGUCUUGUACACACCGCCCGUCAAGUCAUGAAAGUCGGUAACACCUGAAGCCGGUGGCCUAACCCUUGUGGAGGGAGCCGUCGAAGGUGGGAUCGGUAAUUAGGACUAAGUCG
rnacentral:rRNA from 1 species